rnacentral:rRNA from 1 species
GUCGAGAAUAUUGCACAAUGGGCGCAAGCCUGAUGCAGCCAUGCCGCGUGUAUGAAGAAGGCCUUCGGGUUGUAAAGUACUUUCAGCGAGGAGGAAGGCAUUAAGGUUAAUAACCUUGGUGAUUGACGUUACUCGCAGAAGAAGCACCGGCUAACUCCGUGCCAGCAGCCGCGGUAAUACGGAGGGUGCAAGCGUUAAUCGGAAUUACUGGGCGUAAAGCGCACGCAGGCGGUCUGUCAAGUCGGAUGUGAAAUCCCCGGGCUCAACCUGGGAACUGCAUUCGAAACUGGCAGGCUAGAGUCUUGUAGAGGGGGGUAGAAUUCCAGGUGUAGCGGUGAAAUGCGUAGAGAUCUGGAGGAAUACCGGUGGCGAAGGCGGCCCCCUGGACAAAGACUGACGCUCAGGUGCGAAAGCGUGGGGAGCAAACAGGAUUAGAAACCCCGGUAGUCC